rnacentral:rRNA from 1 species
UACGGAGGGUGCAAGCGUUAUCCGGAUUUACUGGGUUUAAAGGGUGCGUAGGUGGGUUUGUAAGUCAGUGGUGAAAUCUCCGGGCUUAACCCGGAAACUGCCAUUGAUACUAUAGGUCUUGAAUUAUCUGGAGGUCAGCGGAAUAUGUCAUGUAGCGGUGAAAUGCUUAGAUAUGACAUAGAACACCAAUUGCGAAGGCAGCUGGCUACAGGUAUAUUGACACUGAGGCACGAAAGCGUGGGGAUCAAACAGG